GCACUCAAUCCACUGAGCCACACCAGCCAGAGCAGAAACAUCUUUUUUUGUUGUUGCACUUACUCACUCAUUGGUUGCUGCUUGUGCGGGCCCUGACCUGGGCUGGAACUGGAAACCUUGGCGCGUGGGGAGGAUGCACCAGCCAACUGAGCUGAGCCGCCCGGCCAGGGCUGGUGUUUGCGUCUCAUGAGUGACCGCGCUUCAGUCUGAGGAGCCCGGUGCUCAAUCCACUGAGCUGCGCCAGCCAGGGCGGGUCUGUGGUUUUCAAACAGGCUCCACCAGCCACGUGGGAGGGAGGACAAGGGCCCGGAGCCCCUCUCCAACAUCCCGCCCCUGCAGAGUGUGCGUGUUUUUAAACCACUGGAAUAUCCUUCUUGAGGAAGCGCUACUGAGUCAUUCAAAGUAUUCUUGCUUCUUGGCCAAGACAAUUCCAUCCAGAUGCCAAAGUUCUGAAGUGUGACUUAAUCUGAACCAUCGCGCUCUCCGUACAUGAGCGGCCCCAGCUGAUGCAGGAGCCUUCUGGGAUGGACCGGCCCUUCCUCCGCUCUGGACGCUGCAGCUCAGAGCCGUCUGGUGACUGGCCCACUGCCGCCCAGCCUGCCUCACCCCGAGCGGCCCAGGGCUCAGAUUUCAGAAAGCAGGUUCUCUGACUCUUUACAGUCUACUUCCCCUUGCUGUGUCACUGCCCGAGAAGGAGCAGUGUCCACGGACCGUCCUUAUGGGGAGGAACAGCUUACACACGUGUUCACAUCGCAAACUGGCUGCUGCCGUCUUCGUCUGGAGGGACUGUCCUGCAUGUCUGUUUACAUAUUUUACGUAGUGUAAUCUUCUCUCCCCUUUUUCAUCUUCAGAUCAGCAGAACUCAGAGAAAACUGGAUUUCCUUCCUUCAGAGAGCAGUGGCCCCACACCAUCUCCCUCUUCUCAGCGGAAGCCCACAGACUACUCUGCUCACACGGAGCUGCCUGCUCCCACGGACCCUGGCUGCUCCUGCACGUGAUGCGCUCAGACGGACAGGCACGUCUGCUUGUACGAGGACGUUCUGGUCUCACUCCCAUCUCUCCCUCUCCCGCCUCUGCAGGAGAGCCUCAGUCAUCCCCAACACCCGAAACAUUUCCCUGCAGGCAGGUUCAACUCCCUAACGCGCGCGGUGCAGACUGCGCGGUAAGGAGGUGACGAGCAGGUGAUGAGCCUGCCAGGAGCUGCGGGAGGGGCUGCGGGAGGAGCCCCGCAGGCUGGAGAAGACCCCUCGGGCAGAGCAGAAGGAACCUGCUGGUGCGUGUCAGAGGACGGAGGGUCUGCCUUCUCGGCACGCAUCAGGUGGGUUGCGAGGGGUGGCGCCAGGUCUGGAAACAGCGAAGGGAAGCACGACUUUCCGGCUUCGAGAGACAUCUGGGGUGGCGCCGGCUCUGGAGGAAGCGUGACCCCUCUGGCGAUGGACGUGCCCAAGUGCACGGGAAGAAACCGUACCAGCACCAAAAGAGUUGGGCCCCAUUUACAUUGUUUUCAAAACUAAUUUGCCAUUCACAGUUUAGCAACUCCUCCCCGUAGAAAACCUUCCUUCGGUGAAGACGUGGUAAGGAGACCAGGUGCUUCCCAGGGUUCCUCCGCGCUCCUCUUCCCCCGCCCUGCCCGAGCACAGAGACUCCUCGGAAUCACAGCCCCCCACCCCCACCCCCACCCCCACCCAAAGAGUACACCAA